CUAUUUUUUUCAUUAAAAAACAGACACUGCAAUUCUCCUGUGUGGCUCUUGUUUCACCUCUAGAACAAAGGAUCUGUUCAGCCAGUUCCUGUAAAACUCCAGGAUUCUGAGAGAAUCUGGAAGGGAGCUAGUUCAUAGCAUAGUGUGCUUUGUUGUAUCUGCAUCAGCAAAGCAGAUAAGCUCAGCCUCUCUUCAUCUGAAAAGGGAACAGAGGAGUAGCAGCAGGAGACAGUGCAAUACUUGAGGAUAUUUUGAAGAUUUCAGGCAACAAGACGACUUUCAGCUGUAUCCAGCACUCCAGCUGUGUGUGAUUUGCCUCUUAAUCAAAGAUUUCAAAAAUCAGGUUCCAUCUGCUAAAAAAUUCAAAGAUCCUGGAUUUGAGAGGCUAUUUAUGAACAUCAAACUGUGGUCCAUUUCUCCCUGGAGUAUCAUGCAGAUGUGCAGCUGCACAGCUGCAGCUCUUCAACACCAGGAGAAGUAUGAGCUAUCCACAGACACCAGUAAAAAGCCAGGCCCAUGCAGGCCACACAAGCCCUGCCUAAACUUGGGAGAAAUUUGAAAUAACAGGAGGUACUGUUUACCUUUCUCAGAGUAUGAAUGGAUAGAGGCAUCUUAAUUAUGAGAAAAUAAUUAAUACUCACCCACCUUCUGAUCUGUGGAAUUAAAGACUCCCUAGCAUACAAUGAAAGGCUACAAUGGCACAGCUCAUGUGGGCAAUAAUGGCUUUGGUGUGACCUUCACAACCUGAAGACAAGUGAGGGAAAUUGUGCUGAAACAACCUGAAGAUGGCUGGAGUUUUGAAAAGCACUCAAUCAAAUGAAGGAAAAUACAUGCAGAAGCACGUGCUGUCCCCUACAUCAACAACGGCUGAAUAUCAAAGGAGCCUACACAUGUAUUUUUAAAGCAAAACAUCUUCUGAUUAAAAAUAUUUAUAAUGAAACGUAUUCAGUGGAAUGCAUGCUAUUUUCUUUUGUUAAAUUUUAAGUCAUUUCAAUAGAAUCUUAAAGCUUUUAACAUAAUUUUAGAUAUGGUUUAGAUACAGAGGUUUGUUAGAACUACCAGAAAUUGCUAUUACACCUUUUAGACAAAAAUGUAGGGUAGGUUAUCUGCUAAUAUCUUGGUGGAAAAAGAUCAUUUCUGCAACACUGUCCCUAAGAUAUCCUCAACUCAGAUCCUUUAGGAACUCUGCUGACUUCCAGAGUCUUAGUUCCAUACUUUCUACAGCCAUCAAAAAAAACAUCAAUAAGGGUGUAGGAAACAGAAAAAAAAAAAUCAUUAUUACAAGAAUAGAAGAAGAAAAGAAAUUUAAAAUGUUAUUUUUAACCAUUAAAUACAUCUGACUAGAAAAAAAAUGUGACCAAGCUUGCCUACUCCUAUUCCUUUUCAAGCAAACCAGUUUCCUUAAAGUUGUCUCACUUCCAGCUGUGAGUAAACAGGAAGUCUUCACGAUUAUUUUCACUACUGUGAGACUGUGUGGCAACUUUAGCUUCCACUUUCUCUUUCUGAAAGCAUUGCCAGAACAACUUUUAAAAGACAUCUAAAAAGAGUUAAGAAAAAAACUGUCUCUAAAGUAAAAAACUACUGAAAAUUUACCUUGAUGUCAGUUUAAGUAGGCUUUUGCAUGGAUCUCUGACAUUGUUUAGCACUACUACUCCAUGCUUUUGUUAAUCUUGUUACACAAGCACAUAUUUUCUAAUGCUCCUGAGAAUAAUAAUAAUUUUUAAAAAUCAACAUAUCUUUCCAAUUGGUUUUUUUGGCAUUUCAAGGUCAUUUCAAGGAUCCUACUGUUUUCCCUGUUUUUUAUGGGAAAAGUAUAUUAAAAUUCAUCACACUCUGUCUUAUCAAACUGUUUAUUAUUACGUCAAGGCAGUGAAAAACAAGGUUAUUUGCAAGGAAAAACAGGGUGAAAUUAUAACAGUGGCAAAGGCCAUAAGUAAACAAACAGGGAUAAAGCAGACACCAUGCAAAUAUUUCCAGGGAAGCAAGAACCUAAAAUACGAAUAUAGCUGGAAACUCUAGAACUAUACGUUUUGUUGCACUGCCUUAAAAAUGUAGUCUCAAGAUUAUAUUUUGAAAACAGAAAAUGCUAUUUGCACUUUCAAAAAUUACUUAUCAAUGUAAUUGAACUGUAAUAAAACAUUCUAUAAUUACAGUGACUGGAGAAAUGUGGCGUCUUAUUUUUAAUGUUUACCAAGAGCAUUUAAUUUAAGCUGUUAGUUAAAUACUACACUAUUGUAAAGGAAUGUUUUAAAAAAGGAAACUAAUUUCCAAAUCUCCUUUUUCACCAGGACAAAAGUAACAAUAUAAACUGCUCACAUAUCCAACCAUUAGCUGAAAUCUCAGCCAAAGCUGCCUGGUCUAUGACCUGCAAAGCCCAAAACACACAUCACUCACAGACAUAGAUUUUUUCACCUACUUGACUCAGAAGUUGUCUCCAGUUCACCUUUAUAGGCUUAACACAUAUUUAGAAAUUCUCUUUACAAAGGCAGGUCCUCAUUGAUAUUUAGAUAUAUUUGACUGUGUUCUUGCAGGAUCUGCUGUCUAUAUUUUUUUUCCAUAUGAAGUGAUGUCCCAUUCUCAACACUUAUAAUAAAUAAAAUAUGCUGUAUAUUACCUUAUUUCUUAAGUAUAAUACAGAUCUAAUCUUAAAAUUCACAAAUAACAAAAAUUAUAGUAUAUACUUAAUGUUCAGAAGAAGCACGUGCAGACAAAUUAAUGACAGGCACCAGAAAAUAACAUUUCCUACUGAGCAUCUGUAUAGAAAAUUUAACCAUACAACUGAAUGAUUUAAAAAUUUUAAGCUAGACUGAAGUGUAGGUAGAGAUUUACUUCUAACAGUUAAAUGAUACUACUGUAGAAAAUAUAAUUAAAGUGGUUGUAUUCAAAUAUUA